rnacentral:rRNA from 1 species
GACGGAGGAGGGAAGAGUUAAAAGGAAUUAUUGGGCGUAAAGAGUCCGUAGGCGGUUUCAAAAGUCUGUUGUUAAAGCCCACAGCUCAACUGUGGAUCGGCAAUGGAAACUGUGAGACUAGAGAGUGGUAGGGGUAGAGGGAAUUCCUAGUGUAGCGGUGAAAUGCGUAGAUAUUAGGAAGAACACCAGUGGCGAAGGCGCUCUACUGGGCCAUUACUGACGCUGAUGGACGAAAGCUAGGGGAGCGAAAGGG